rnacentral:lncRNA from 1 species
UAAUUUUUGAACCAAAUUAUGACUUGAAGGAAAAGCAGACACAGCAUAUUUAUGUCUUGCUAGACUCACCUCUCCCCGAAAAGCUUCAGAUGAGGUUCUCAGAGGAAUUGAAAUAAUGAGGCCGGGGAGCUUAUAACAAACCUAUGAUCUCAGAACUACUUCCAUCCAGUGCUGGAAGAGUGUGUAGUAUCUCUGCAUGCGGAGCUAUAGGGGACUGUUUUGACAGCUUGCCAAGCCAUGGAUCGUGCUUAGAAAAAUACAUAAAGAAUAAAAUGCAUUAGAGAGAACAGGAAAUCACCCAUAAAUGGCAUUAUCUACCAACAAGUCAUUAACCACCUCACCUCUCCUGGAGGGAACCAGAUAAGAUACCUCAUAAAGAAGAUAGGAUUACAAGCAAGGGCAAAUUAAGUUGAAUUUAGCUACUCUGAAUAUAAAAUACAGCAUUCUAAAUUACAAAGAUAUGACUGUUGUUAAGAUAGGUUAUUGUCACUCUUGCCACUCUGUAAUGCAGAUGUUAGCUGCUCCUAUGUAUCCCUACUUGCCACCUCUGUUUUGCCCAACCUUGACUCGAACACAGAAAAGCCUCUCCAAAUUUCCUCAAAAGAAUGCACUAAAAUGCCCUAAAGAAAGAAUGAGAAAUGUCAGUUUCACUGAUGAUUACUCUGUUGGUUAGUUUUAGGGCAGAAGCUGAGAAAAGGGAGUUAACAGAGCACAGACAAUGACCAACUUGAUCAUUAAGGGAGCACAUCUCUUUCCUUAAGUCUUCUAACUGCCAAGCUGCCGUGGAGCUUCCUACUUUCGAUCCUCUCUUCCCUUUGCAUCCACCUUGUUAAUGCCUUCCCUUUCCCUCUGUGACCCAUACAAGUUUCCUUUCUUGUAUUAUACCUUGUGGUUAAGGGACUGUCUUUUACUACCUGGACAUGACCAUUGGGUCUCACUCUCCAUCCCAAGACUUAUUGAAUUUUUUUCUAAAAAAAAGUGCUCUCCCCAAGAGAAAUUCUGGCAAAUAAACUUUUAUUUAUCUUAUUAAUCUCUUUUGGAGAUGGAGUAUAUGCAUUGAUUUGUUGUAGCUAAGCUAAAAGAGAAAUUUACGGUUUCUAAAAGAGAGUUUGGUUUCUGAUUUGAACAUCCCCACUAGUCCCCCUCCUUCUGCUUCCCCAUCAGUGAAAUUUCAGAAUGGGAUGGAAAAAUAACCACUAAGCAAAGCCUGCUCAAGCUUCUUUUCACCAGGGAAGCUGGUGUCUGCUUGAGGAUCUCUCCUCUUGAAUAGACCAAGAACUCUGGGAAAUCUAAGGCUAAGAUGUCAGUCCGAUUUCUGUACUCAGUUGUGGAGGGCCAGAAAAUCAGUGGGCUAUGGCCAUAGCUUCUCCCGGAUACAAAGGUAGUACUGGUCCCC